UUUCCUCUUCUCGAUGCAUUGCAAGGAGAUUACAGCGACCGGAUCAAGCAUCGGUCUCGGCACCAGUGGAGAGGGAGAGGGAAGCAAACCCUAAUCCAUACCUGCUUCUGCUUCUUUUUAUUCUUCGCCACUCCUUCUGCAACUCAAAACCUAGAAUUUAGGGUCUCGCUAAUCGUCCUAUAUCUCGUAAGGUAACCUUUUUAUUAAGCCCUUUAUCGCAAGCGUUCUUUUGCGACUGUGGAUCUGAUUCCUGAGUUGUUUCCUGCACCGCGUCGAGAAAUGGCGGAAUCAGCUAUCUCGAAUUCGAGAUAUACAUACCUGCACGAUGGCAAGUGGCCUUCUCAAGCAGUUGACGUGCAUCAUGUUGUCGUUCGGAAGAGCGGGGCAAGGGGCGUCCUCAUUUACGUAUCGGUUUUACUUCUUGUGGCAAAUGUGUCGUAUCUCUUCCUGGUUAAGGACAAAUCAGCUCAUGGUUGCCUUGGGAGCUUUCUUUUGAGUGCAUUCUUUCUCAAGCUAUUGCUUUGGAAGCCCGUCAAGAAAGAGUCUGUUGUGGUUUUUCCAGCAUUUGGAGUUCAGCUUGAGACUCACUAUGGCAGUGGAAGAGUUAACCGCCGAUUUGUUCCUAUUAGCAAGAUUUUGAAGCCUGUGCUUAUUGAAUGCGUUACUCCAGUUAAUUGUUACUGGAGCCUUUCUUUGAUUUUACGGGGGGAAGAGGAGCUGAUGUUAGUUUUUGAGGAAUUGCGCCCACCUGUGAAAAUGUUGGCCCCCAUCUGGAAAGGCUUGUGCGCUGCGAUCAUCGUGUCAGAAAGCCCUAAUAUGUUUUCAAAAGAUGUUGAUAGUUUUGAAUGAUUUGACAUCAAGAGAUCUGAUGUGGUGUAAUCAGCUGGGAAGAAUAUAUCGACAUUAACUUUUGAUAUUUUUCCAUGGCGGAUUAAUCAAAGGGAACACAUCCUUGUUAUGCUUAGCUCAGCUGACUCGUUUGACAGGGGUGUCUAUUUGUGCGCCAAGAAGUGAGUUUUGAAACAACAUUACUAGUGGAAACUGGAGAGAUGAUCUCAAUUGUACGAAUGUGAUAUCUGUAGAAUUGCAGUGGUGAAGAAUUAUUGUCAGGCUGUCUGCUAUUAGCAUUGCAAUGUGAUAAAGUCAGAAUAAUAGUAUUUUUUGUAGGCUUGGGGAUGGGGGCUCCCAAUUUUCUUUAACUUUAGAAAAGAUGGACUUAAUAAUAGAAUUUCCUGUUGCAAUCUGGUUUAUAAAUGCAUCAUGAAAAUUAUGACCAACAGGCUGCAGCAAUGUCUCAAUUCUUUUGCAAGUUCAGACUGCCUUUAUUAAAGUGAGGAGUAUUCAAGAUAAUAUUUUAUUAGCUCAAGAACUUUUACUUGGUUAUCAUUUGGUUACUGAAUCACCAAGAUUAGCCCUUAAAAUAGAUUUGACAAAGGCACUUGGUUCACUUCAUUGGCGCUUCUUAUUUCAGCUAUUGGUGUGUAUUGGAACUCUGGCAAAGUUUGUGGGGUGGAUAAAGAAAUGUAUUUCUACACUUUCAUAUUCUAUUAUUGUUAAAGGAUCAGCUGAGAGUUUUUUCAAAGGAAGAAGGGAAAUAUGACAAGAGCGGCAAUUUACCAUUUCUAAAGCACAUGUCAAGAUGCCUUUUAAUACCUGACCAGAAAAUCUUCAGAAAAGAGGUUUCUCUCUUGCCAAUGGAUGAUUUUUAUGCCUGGAGCAGGAGGAAUCGAUUGAUUAUGUCAUUCUGUAUUAUUCAUGGAUGGAGAAUUUGUGUAACUUAGCCAUCUCCAUUGUAAAACAGAAGUGGGUCACUGCAGCUAUGAUGGAAGGUGAACUGUGGGCUUGGAAAGGGUACAGGUCAAAUAAGGAAGAAAAUCUCUCCCCCUCAUUCCCCUUGCUAUUUUUUGGGCAGUGUGGAGAGAAAGGAACAAGAGCCUUUGAAUGAACUAUUUCUCCUAUUCAGGCAGUCAUGGACCAUUGGAUUGCUAUGAUUUCUAGGUAUUUUGGCUGGAAGGGACCUCUUUGUACUUCUCAAUUUUCUUGAUAUUUUUCAGUAAGGGAUGUUUCUUGAUUCCUUUGUACUUGGGUGGCAUCCCCUUGAUGCCUCUAUCUAAUAUAACU